UAUGUGAUCGUCUCUCGCAUAUCAAUAAGCGGAGGAAAAGAAACUAACAAGGAUUCCCCUAGUAACGGCGAGUGAAGCGGGAAGAACUCAAAUUUGAAAUCUUAAAGGGUUUCCCUUUACGAAUUGUAGUUUAAAGAAGUGUUUUCUGUUGAGGUUUUGGUAAAAGUUCUUUGGAAUAGGACAUCAUAGAGGGUGAGAAUCCCGUAUUUGACCUUUACUUUCAACUUUGUGAUACACUUUCAAAGAGUCGGAUUGUUUGGGAAUGCAGUCCAAAAUGGGUGGUAAAUUUCAUCUAAAGCUAAAUAUUGGCGAGAGACCGAUAGCGAACAAGUACCGUGAGGGAAAGAUGAAAAGAACUUUGAAAAGAGAGUUAAACAGUACGUGAAAUUGUCAAAAGGGAAGCGUUUGACACCAGUGUUGUUUUUCUGAAAAUCAAUUAAAGAACUGUUUAUGCUAAGCUGUUUAGACUUUAUCAGCUAUCUGUUUAGUUUUGAGCUUUUCUUUAAUGCACUUUUCAGUUAACAAGUCAACAUCAAUUUCUUUUGCUGUAAAAAAGCUUGAGGAAGGUGGCUUGAGAUUCGUCUUAAGUGUUUAUAGCCUCUUGCCUAUGCAGUCGGAGAGAUUGAGGUCUGCAGCGUAGAUCCUUCGGGGCUAAAUGCAUUUGUGCUAAGUUAUAGCAUUUUAUAGACAACUUGUUGACUAUGAUUUGUCUUGUAGCUUACUCGCUUAUGUUAUUUUACCUACGCUUAGGAUGUUGAAGAUAUGCGCGACACG
rnacentral:rRNA from 1 species